CGUACCUUUUGUAUAAUGGGUCAGCGACUUAGUGUUGCGUGCAAGCUUAAGCCGAUAGGUGUAGGCACAGCGAAAGCGAGUCUUAAUAGGGCGAAUGAGUACGUAGCAUUAGACCCGAAGGCAAGUGAUCUAGAUAUGGGCAGGCUGAAGGUGCAGUAACAUGCACUGGAGGGCCGAACCGUUGAGCGUUGAAAAGCUCUCGGAUGACCUGUGUCUAGGGGUGAAAGGCCAAUCAAACUCGGUGAUAGCUGGUUCUCCCCGAAAUGCAUUUAGGUGCAGCGUUGCGUGGUUCUUGUUGGAGGUAGAGCACUGGAUGGUCUAGGGGGCUUAUCGGCUUACCGAAAUCAGCCAAACUCCGAAUGCUGGCAAGUGUAGCGUGGCAGUGAGACGGCGGGGGAUAAGCUUCGUCGUCGAGAGGGAAACAGCCCAGAUCGCCGGUUAAGGCCCCUAAGGGUGUACUAAGUGGAAAAGGAUGUGGGAUCGCGAAGACAGCCAGGAGGUUGGCUUAGAAGCAGCCAUCCUUGAAAGAGUGCGUAAUAGCUCACUGGUCGAGUGACACUGCGCCGAAAAUGUACCGGGGCUAAACAUAUUACCGAAGCUGUGGAUCCGUAAGGAUGGUAGGAGAGCGUUCUAAGUGCACUGAAGCAUGAUCGUGAGGACAUGUGGAGCGCUUAGAAGUGAGAACGCCG
rnacentral:rRNA from 1 species